UACGUAGGUGGCGAGCGUUGUCCGGAUUUAUUGGGCGUAAAGCGCCCGCAGGCGGCCUGGCAAGUUUCAGGUGAAAUCUCCCGGCUUAACUGGGAGGAGUCCUGGAAAACUGUCAGGCUUGAGGCAGGGAGAGGGAUGUGGAAUUCCCGGUGUAGUGGUGAAAUGCGUAGAUAUCGGGAGGAACACCAGUGGCGAAGGCGGCAUCCUGGCCCUGUCCUGACGCUCAGGGGCGAAAGCGUGGGGAGCAAACAGG
rnacentral:rRNA from 1 species